AUUGAACGCUGGCGGCAGGCUUAACACAUGCAAGUCGAGCGGAGAUGAGGUGCUUGCACCUUAUCUUAGCGGCGGACGGGUGAGUAAUGCUUAGGAAUCUGCCUAUUAGUGGGGGACAACAUUCCGAAAGGAAUGCUAAUACCGCAUACGUCCUACGGGAGAAAGCAGGGGAUCUUCGGACCUUGCGCUAAUAGAUGAGCCUAAGUCGGAUUAGCUAGUUGGUGGGGUAAAGGCCUACCAAGGCGACGAUCUGUAGCGGGUCUGAGAGGAUGAUCCGCCACACUGGGACUGAGACACGGCCCAGACUCCUACGGGAGGCAGCAGUGGGGAAUGUUGGACAAUGGGGAGAACCCUGAUCCAGCCAUGCCGCGUGUGUGAAGAAGGCCUUAUGGUUGUAAAGCACUUUAAGCGAGGAGGAGGCUACUGAGACUAAUACUCUUGGAUAGUGGACGUUACUCGCAGAAUAAGCACCGGCUAACUCUGUGCCAGCCGCCGCAGUAACAC
rnacentral:rRNA from 1 species